GGGGUUCUAGCUCAUCGGUAGAGUGCUCGCUUAGCAUCCGUGAGGACAUGGUUGCGAGAGGCGCUGGGUUCGAUUCCCAGGUACUCCA
rnacentral:tRNA from 1 species